CAGAACUAAAUAAUUUUUCCUUUGCAAUGAAUCGAAGGCGAUAAACCAUGAAUUCCCGCUUGUCGCUUCAUUUACGUUCUGCGAACCGGCGGUUGGAUUUCGGCCCCGCAGGAAACUUAGCCGAAUCACGUUGGGUGACGAACGUGUUAAGUUCGUUAAAUUAUUUAUUAUUACGCGGUUCAUUUUUUCCGUAUAAAUAACGUUACGAAAGCUUUCCAGCGAUCGAUUCGAAAGCGCGAAACGCAAUGGGAAAGGAAGUGAAAAAAAAAAGAUGGAGAAAAUUCCACAUCUGGAUCGAACGCAUUUACAGAUCGACGCGUCGCGACGCGGACGAAACUCGGCAAAUCCGGGCCCCUGAUUCGAUUCGGAAUUUCUUCCGGCUGUCGCACACGACGGCCGCAUUUUCCCCGAUUCGACGCUCGCAUUCGUUUAGCACUCGAAUUGUUCUCAAUUAGUUUAUGCACGCUCGCGAUUCUGAGCAAUUCCCCGCGCGUGCACGCGCUUUACGCUUACGAUCGCUAUCAGCGUUCCGUGCUUCGAUUUUUUCCCUAGUUUCCUUUUUCAACGACCCAGCGGCAAACUGUUGAACUUUCAACAUUCUUUUUCCUAUCGUCAAAGGAAUUAAGAAUCUGCGCGCGUACGCACAUAGGUGAAAAUCAAUACACGUUCCAUGGAGAAAUAUUACGACUUGAUUUAAGAAUAUCAAGAGUGGCGUUGAUUUUUCCUUAAUAAAGUUACGCGAAUUAUAACAAGUCGCUUUGUAAUAUUUUCACGUGGAACGUGUAUCGAUUUUCACCUGCGUACCUAAGCGCGAAAAUUCUUAAUUUCUUUGACGAUAUGAAAAAAAUGUGAGAAGUUCAACGGUUCUCCUUAGAAUAGAAAGUACAUUCUAGAGGAUAUCAUACGUUUCCACGAUUUAUAUUUCCACGAUUAAUCAAACGCGACGAAGAUACUGAUGCAAAUUCAUAUUUCUAUGCGUAUCGUUAAAAAACUAGACGCAUAAUUGUUUCACUUGUUAAAUAUGGUAACGAUAUGGCUAUUUUCUAUAUAAUUACGUUCUGUGCAUAUUUCCAUUGAAAAUUGCCCGCAAACGCAUAAAAAUCCGCGCUGUAAUUACCAUACUUAUUCUCUUACUUACGCGCUAAUCCACGAUAAUUCUCAAUUGCAGAUUCAAAAUUUACUUGGAAACCUUAUUCCGCCGACUUGUUCGUCGGAAUCAAUUUUCACAGACGUCUUAGCUGCCGGGACGUAGCUUCGUAGCCAUGCUCGUGCAAUUUAAUGUAUCGUUAGGCACGGUAAUAAACGAUAAACGUGGUAGAAUAUGCCGCCAGUUUACCAGCAGAGUGUUCCACCGGCAUAGAAUCGAGGUGAUUAUGUUCGGCUCCCGAGGGACGCGUCGCCUAAACGACCGCUUCGUGCCGCUAUCGUUCUCUGCUAUCCACGUCGUUUGCCUUUGAUAACUCUUUUACAGUCUGACUUUAUUAUCCGAAUAGGAAGCCGGUAAGAUCGACGAGUAAUUCGCGCGCAUUUAGUUCGCCUCUUGUCACGGUGGGAAAAGAAGCGAAUAAAAAAGAAAAGGAGGUACGAGACGACAAAAGGAGAGAAAGGGAGGAACAGAGGGGAUUUAUCGGAGAUGGUAAAAACUAGGCUUCUCUGGUGGCGAUGUUCAAAUAUUUGAGGGGAAAAAUUUAUGUCCCGGACCGCGGGUUUCCUUUUAAAGGCACCGCGACGACGAGAGUGGAAAGUUUAAUUACACGGGAACACGUCUUCGUGGUGUUCCCUUUGCGGUGUUCGUGGCUUGAAAGUCGGCCGAGGACCAAGUUUAGGCUGUUCGCUGAACAUUUUCUUUAAAAGUUACCGCUGGUAGCGAUGCUUCAAGUUAGACAUAGCAUUGAUCGAUUGAUAGCGCAUAUCGUUGAAAUCGUAGCUGUUUCUGCUCUAUGUUAUACAAGUAAACUAUACCUAUGUUGAUCGCAGACAAAUUGAAACGCGAAUUAAACAUAAGUCUAGCGAUCGUAGAAUUAAGAAAUGAAUUUAUUAUUCCGAUAUCGGUCUCCUACGGCUGUCGUCUAUACAAUGGCAUAAUGUAUAACGAACGUGUGUAACGUUAGAGACGGUGAAUAAAUAAUAAAAAUAUUAUUAGAUCAUACAGAUAUGCUUAUACGAGUACGUUUUAAUAUUCCAAAAUUAUAGAUUCCACGGUAACUUUAUUUGGAUACUUUGAGGCUUUUGGAACGAGGAAUUAAUUCAAAUAUUUCAUCUGCUAAGUUUCUCGUGUCUCUUACCUUUUAAAUAAAGUUGUAUUAUAUAGGCUGUUAGAAAAUGGCGACUAAAUAUUUUCAAUCGAAUAAGAAGAAGCAAAAGUGGCGCAAUGCAAAUGAUAAAACUUCGAUUUUCUUCAAUUUCGAGAAAAUAAAACAUUUGAAUUGAAAUGGUUAGAGAGAUGGUAGAAUUUAAGAUGUAGAAACAGACACAUUUGCCAUGUUAAAUGUUAUUUUCUGUUACCAACUCGUCGAAUAUAAACUAUACUAAAACUUGAACAAAAGAUUCAUAGACGUCAUUUGCUUCCUUUAUCUUCAUCUUGAGAACGAAACGGUACGAUAUCCUUCAGAAGAAUUCAGAGACAUCGUCCUACCAGAAACAAACGUCAGCAAGUUAAACGCAAUGUUCAAGCGCCGCUUAUUCACCGAUGAAUCCAACAGGAAGAGAAUGGAGUGGAAUUCACGAACGCUAACGUAGAAAUAACCACGAGACGUUGGUCGACUUUAGCUUCGUAGCAAACUAGUUAGCGAACUUGAGGUUGUUCGACGAUUGUUAAGGCGUACAAAACGUCUCGCACAACUUGAACGGUAUAGCCUGACUGCUUCUCACUUGUUGAAAUUCCAGAGGAACGCCAGUCGCCAUAAACCUUCUCUCGAAUACGUUAUCCUUGAUCCACGAAAGCGUUUUCACGAUAAAACGUUUGAUCUUCCGCCAUGGAAGCUGUGGUAUCACCUUUAACUGAUCGAUGCUGAAAUUACCGCCGUGAAGCCUUUUUUUUCCACCAUACUUCGCAACUUUGAAAUCGCGUCGUGAAAUUUAAAUUUUGCUCCGUGUACUUGUUCGUCGAGUUGUUUGAAUUGUGCAGAUUUUUCCAAUUAUUUGUCCCGAUUCGAGGAGCAACUGCGAUAAAUUUAUCGACAUUGUUGCGCUACAAAAAUUUGUUACAAAGAAGAAUGUAUCGACUUUGGAUUAAUUUUUGUAUUCUAAGAAGAACAAUCGCUUAAUUAGACAUGGAUUUUUACGAAACAAUUGUCACCUAUAUUUAUGUUGUAAAUAGUCGCUUGAUUUAUAACGGUCCGUGAAAACAUAUCUUUUGAAUGAAUUUUUUAGGCAGAUGAUUCUAAGGCAGUUUUAUCGUACGACAGUGAAAAAGAGCAAACGAAAGAUUUGUUAAACAACAGUUCGACGAUGACAUUUUGCGUCGUUGAAGUUUUAAAUGAAGACCAAAGAUGAAACGUCUAACGAAACGCUUUAAAAGCCAACCAUCCAUUCAUUCUGACGUUGAGGAAGAGGUAUCUGGAUGAAGAAUAGGAUCGUGGUGAGAGUAGAGCAUUAAACGUGGCAUUAAGCCAGCGAUCGCUUCAUCGGACAGAGCGAACAGGCUGCUACAGGCAGUAUAAUGAAUCAUUAAUGUCCAGUUAUCGCUGAAAUCGAUCGCGAGAACUGACGAAUUCAACCAGCUAAAAACCAGCAAUAAAGGUCAGCCUCCUUUCUCGACAUAAGAUUCCAAAUCUCGGAGCAAACAACACGACGAAAAAAUAUCCCGAAAGAAGAAGUUGGAGUUUGUCAUUCAACAGCGGUAUCGUCGAUGAUUAAUGCCCUUGAACAUGUCCCCCCAAAACUAGACCAACCCUCCAGCCUUCGCUAUGUCCUGGGUUCGAAAGUCAAAGCCGAAGGGAGACGUUGUGCCCAAGGAAACGAAGAAAAAUGCGAGGAAAGCGAGGGACAGUGGGAUAUGUACGAGGUGGACGGUUAAAAGGAAGGGGAAAAGAAAGGGAGAUCCAUUAUCGUCGUUGAUGACGCGACUCGGUAUGGAGGAGAAACGUAAAAGCUGGAAGCGUCGGUUAAAUUUGAUUUAAAAUAAAAAUAAGGAAUAACAGUUAGAAACGGUGUGCUGCGUGCAACGAUUUUAAAUAGAAUAACGCAAUUUAAAAAUAGUUUAAUUCGUUAUAAACGCGUACCUCCCCUAUGCUCCAAUUAUAAAUAACAGAACAAGGUCUUUAUUCCUGGAAAUAAACGGCAUCUCCACUGUGGAUUGUUAUUUCAGUAAACAUUUAAAUAUUAAUAAACUCAUUUUAUAAUUUUGUACGGCUCUGAUAUGGCUGACACGACGGUAAAAAUAGAAAUUAUUAUUCAUAAAACAUGAAUUUUAAAUUAAAGAAAUAGAAUAAAAAGAGUUGUAUCCAAAUAAUGAAACAUCUCUAAGAUAAACAACUCUCUUCUUCGAACAAACUACGUUGUAAUUAAUUUGAAAUAAUCACGAGCCAAAUGACGUGUCAUUUAAAUAGUCAUUUUCCAAAUAUUUUUUCUAUUGACCACACACGGAUAACUGUGCGAGCUAGAGGGAGAAAUGGGUAGAAGAACAGCGCGAUUCGUCCCAGCAAAGCGGAAAAGAGAACGGUGGAAGAGGGUUGAGGGGUGAAAGGGAAGAAGGAAGGAAGGACAGAAAGACGCGGAGGAGACCGGAUUCCUCUUUGGUCUCCGUUUUACCCUCCUCGUUGCCCCGGCUGCAUUCCUCGGCCCGUUUCAACCUGCCUGCUGGCCGCCGCCAGUUUAACCUGCAGCCCAACACACUAUUAUGUCUGACCCGAGGCGCUCCCACAUUUAACUACACGUUUCGUCUGACCGGGCUUCGCGUGUGGAGGCACGGAGGUGUUUGUGGAAGGGUGGCCAACGAAGGAACGCGGACCCCCGAAACGACGCGACGUAGGGCUGCCGACAAUGACUCCGAGUCAAUAGGAGCCCAGCUUUUGAACUCGCGACCGCGACUGCCUGGUUAUGUUUUAAUCGCCGACGUUUUUGCGAUCAGACGAUGGCCUCCUUUUCCUCUCUAGGGAGGCUUCGCUGGUGGGGUGGUUAGCUUUUAUGGCUUUUUGAUAUACGUUCGUUUAGUGGUUUAUUGCUCCUUCGUUUAGGAUUUCUUCCUUUUUUUUCUUCUUUCUUUUUUCGAAGAACGAAACUUAGGCUUUGAAAGUUUGGAAAUUCUGAAGAU